AGCGGACGCUGGCGGCAGGCUUAACACAUGCAAGUCGAGCGCACCGCAAGGGGAGCGGCAGACGGGUGAGUAACAAGUGGGAACGUGUCCUUUGGUCUGGAACAACCCAGGGAAACUUGGGCUAAUACCGGAUACGUCCGAACGGAGACAGAUUUAUCGUCAAAGGAUCGGCCCGGGUCUGAUUAGCUAGUCGGUGGGGUAACGGCCCACCAAGCCGACGAACAGUAGCUGGUCUGAGAGGAUGAUCAGCCACAUUGGGACUGAGGCACGGCCCAAACUCCUACGGUAGGCAGCAGUGGGGAAUAUUGGACAAUGGGGGCAACCCUGAUCCAGCCAUGCCGCGUGAGUGAUGAAGGCCUUAGGGUUGUAAAGCUCUUUUAGCGGGGAAGAUUAUGGCGGUACCCGCAGAAAAAGCCCCGGCUAACUUCGUGCCAGCCGCCGCAGUAA
rnacentral:rRNA from 1 species